AACCUCCGCAAUGUACGAAAGUGCGACGGGGGGAUCCCAAGUGUUAUGCUUUUUUGUAUAACUUUUCAUUAGUGUAAAAAGCUUUUAGAAUAAGAGCUGGGCAAGACCGGUGCCAGCCGCCGCGGUAACACCGGCAGCUCGAGUGGUAGCUGUUUUUAUUGGGCCUAAAGCGUUCGUAGCCGGUUUGAUAAGUCUUUGGUGAAAGCUUGUAGCUUAACUAUAAGAAUUGCUGGAGAUACUAUCAGACUUGAAGUCGGGAGAGGUUAGAGGUACUACCGGGGUAGGGUGAAAUCCUAUAAUCCUGGGAGGACCACCUGUGGCGAAGGCGUCUAACUGGAACGAUCUUGACGGUGAGUAACGAAAGCCAGGGCGCGAACCGGAUUAGAUACCCGGGUAGUCCUGGCCGUAAACGAUGUGGACUUGGUGUUGGAAUGGCUUUGAGUUGUUCCGGUGCCGAAGGGAAGCUGUUAAGUCCACCGCCUGGGAAGUACGGUCGCAAGACUGAAACUUAAAGGAAUU
rnacentral:rRNA from 1 species